rnacentral:pre_miRNA from 1 species
UUUGUGGGGAAUGUUGUCUGGCUCGAGGAAAUCUUCAAUCCUGAUCAAUUUUUUUUUAUACAUAUUUUUAUAGUAAUUACUAUAUUGUUACAUAGAUCUAUACAAUAUUUAUGAUAGAUCUAUGAAUUUUUGAUUAUAUUGUUGGGUGUCGUCGGACCAGGCUUCAUUCCCCUCAAA